GCCGGAUUGGGUACUGACCUCUAGAAGUACCGAAUAGCGGACUUAAAAUCCGCGGCCCCCGCAAGGGGCAUACGGGUUCGAGUCCCGUUCCGGGCACCA
rnacentral:tRNA from 1 species